rnacentral:lncRNA from 1 species
AGCCACUGUUAUGCAAAGUUCAAGGGCCUCUCUCACACUUAGCUGGGGGAGGAGUGAAUACAGCCUUUCUGAAGAAAGAAAAAUUAAGUAAUAGCAAAAUCAUUAAGUGUUUAUGAUUCAUAAAUACAGUUUUUGUCAACUAAAAAAAUAAAAUAUGUAGAAGUCAAAAAAGUGUCUAUGAUUCAGAAAUGCCACCGUUAGAAGUUGCCAUAAGAGUGCACACAAAAAGGACAUAUGGGUCAAAGUGUUUGCAGCAGUGUUGUCCCAAAUAAGGACAUUUUGCAACAUUGUGGGGUGGUUAAAAUAACUAUAGAAUAUGCAUUAGAAUACAAUGAAACCAUUAAACAUAAUGUGGAAGAAUAUUGUAUAUUAUAGGGAAAUGCUCAUAAUAUAUAGUGACAAUUUAAAAAGCAGAUUACAAAACAAUAUGCCAAGACAUGAUUUCUGCCCAAGUCUGCCCUGAUGGGUGAGCUAACCAAGGUUGCUGCACUGUGAGGGCAUAGGGGCUGCCCCUCAGCCCCCACCCCAGCCACUGGGCUCCUCAGGAAAGGACACGUGAGUGUUUACUGCACAUCCUACAGAUGAGGAGCUCACAAGGACCCUGGAUGGGGGAGUCCUCUGAGGUUGCUGGAGCUGCUGCAGCCAUCUUGUCACUGCCAGGGGAGAGCUCUCUCUGAGAGCGAAGGCACAGUGGAGGAAAGCAGAACUAAGAAGAGACAGAGAAAGCGAAAGUGGGAGAGAGAGAGAGAUAUGAGGUGACAAGUGUGGGUCCUUGGAUCCUGCUUGGUGUAAAGCUAGCCUGCUCCUGGACUUUACAGAUAAUAAAUUCCUUCCUCAUCAGAUUAACCUGGGUUUUUGUGGCUUGUAACCAAAAGGGUCUGCACGGCCCACACACAGGCUCCCAGCUCAUUUCCUUUGCAAUGAGUGGUAACUGGAGGCGGGCGGUGCAUGGACCUGCCUUGCAAGGCUUCUCUGUUAGUGGUGCCUGGAGCCCACUCUCUCAGCUGGCACAGCCAGUGUGACACAUCAGUCCGGGUGUGUCCUGGACCUACCCCCUUUCUGGGUGCAAACCAGAACUGAGGAUGCCGAGGGUGGUGGGGGGGUAGUUUCCUGCCUCAGGGCUGUGCUCCUGCUACCUCUUUGCCUAAAAUUCUCCCCUCUCUGUGCUCCCAGGGCCAGCUCCUUUGUAUGCUCUGUGAUUCUUUGAACAGCGCCCCCUCUGAGAAGCCUUCCCUGACCACCUGGCUGAGGACAUCAUUCUGUCCCAGCUUCCAUUUGCUUUGGGAGUGGCCUCCUGACACUUCACUUCCGUGAGGCAGGGACCAGUUCUGUCCUGGUCACUGCUGUAUCCCCAGCUCUAGAUAAGGCCUGAGACAUCGUAGGAGUGCCAGGGAUCUUUGGUUACUGAGAAAACGAGCAGCUAGAUCAAGGUUCCCAACACCAACACGCUGGGGACAUGUUGGGAGUCAACUUAGCCCUACCAGCAGGUGGAACUAGUUUUGCUGCUCCAAAACAGAGUUCUAGCUAUGGGGACAGCCACUAGAGAGCAGAGCUAAGUCCAUGCUAUGCUGAGGGGCCACAGUCUGCCCUGAACUGUGCCUCCCAGCCUGGAGCUAGUGAGGGGGCCGAGCCUGGGAGCUGACAGAUGAGGGCUCGGCGUGGGGACUUUUGGAGGGGAGGGCAUUUUCUUGAUCUUACCAUGGGGGCAACAGCUAGAUGGGUAGGGGGGGACCCACUCAAGGACAUACUGCGGCUUCAGGCUUCGACCAGCCCAGAACGCUCGCUCCAUCUGAGGGUCUUGAUAUCAGGGUGUGGCGUCAGGAGCCGGAGCCUACGGGUUGAAAGCCAAGAGUGGGCAAUCAAAGCUGAAACCAGGCCCACGACUUAGGAGCUGGAGAGCACACAGGGCUGAACACUCGAGUUGGUGACCAGGAAACCAGGGAGCAAAGUCUCCAGGGUGCUUGGGCAAGACCCCAGAUGGUCUGCAGCAACGCACGGGCAACACGGGAUGAUCAGCGCUACGUGGUGAGAAACUUACCUCCUUUUGCAGGACAACAUUUUCCAGUCCUUCUGAGUAAAUCAAAGAGAAGUCUCAGCUUGGUGAUUGCAGGUCUCUAAUGCUUAUUUCUCUGUCUCUGUCUCUCUCUCUUUUAACAAAAGUCUACCAGCGGCCUCAGGCUCAGGGCCUGUCUCAGGUAAAAGCGGGUUAGGGUGUAAUAACAGUGAUCGGUUUCAUUGUGUUUAUUUUUGUAGCUACUUUCUAAUUAUAGCAAGUGAUUCUGAGUUUCCAUUUAGGAUAGUAAUAGGAAGUUUCUUUUUCAAGUAAAUGUGCAUAAGUAAAAGGAGACUGCUCAAAGGAAAACAGCUGGUGAUUGAUAGAACAGGCUGUGGCAUUGUUGGGCCCCAGAGGGAAGGGCUGUGUGAGCAUGCAGGAAAUUCUGGGAAGGCAGCUAAAUGCAGUUGCUGCAUGGGGGCCAGGAAGCAUUUGGAGACGUGGCUGGGCACAGCUUGGCUUUUGAGCCCAAGAGAGGCCUGCUGGGGAUGUGUUGGGAGCCAACCUACCCCUACCAGCAGGUGGAACUGGUUUUGCCACUCCAAAACAGAGUUCCAGCUAUGGGGACAGCCACUAGAGAGCAGAGCUAAGGGCAUUCUAGGCCAAGGGGUCACAGUCCACCCUGAACUGUGCCUCCCAGCCUGAAGCCAGAAAGCUCAGGGAGGCUAGCGGCCCUGCCCAGGCCUCAGCACUGACCCUGCACCCCUAGGCCCAGCUGGAUGACCCCUAAGAGCUUCCUGGAAUUUGGAUGCAGGGUUAUUCUGUGUGUGCUGCCUCUCAGAGCAUGUCACUUUGACGUGGACAUCUCGGGUCUGGUUCUGGUGCUGUCCCUGUCUCGCCACGUGACCCUGGAUAAGUCAUCUCUCCAGGCCUUGAUUUCCCCAUCUGUAAACAGAGGAACCCAAGGAACGAGUGGGCUCUAACUGCUGCAGCAUAUGGGAGAUGCCAGGAGGAGCUGGCUGUGGCAGGCCAUCCCAGUCCAUCAGACAACUUGUAGUGGAUGAAGAUGCAGUGUCCAUGGCCAGAAGAAACUCCCGUGGAUGCUCAGGCCAAGGCUGCCAGAAGCACGAGGAGGGGCAGCAUUGAGUGUCAUCGGGAAAAGGCAAAGUGAUGGUCCUGAAGCUGCCCCAUGUGGCCAGUCCCUUUUUGGGAAGCCUGAAUAAAUCCAUUUCCUGUGCACUGUGUGGGAAGCCAACCCCUCUUCAGAGCACCUCUGAACUCAACAGGAUCCUACACUUCUUAUAGGCCUGGCUUGAUGCUGACAUCCUUCAGCCCCAGGGAAGACCUAAAGAUCUCCAGGUCUUGAGGCACCUGGAACACCUCCACCUGAGACCACUUUAACAUGAUUUCUCUGCUUGAGGGAUUUUGGACCAUGCUGUGUGUAUUCAGCCCUAAAACAUGGGCGAGUGCCCGCUUGCAGUUCAAAUUCUCAGAGGAAGUUCCCUGUACUCCACCCAGUGCCAAGUUUAGUUUGUGCAAAUUUCCUUAAUGUCCCCUCCUGUACAACAGGCUUAUUUGGUGUUAACCCUCAUAUCGGGGGUCUAACUCUUUGCUUUUCCAGCUUUUGUGCUGGAAUAUCCCAUUAAACUGUCCAUGUUGGGUAUUUUUUCUUUGUUAGUAAACAUUUGUUGCAUAUUGUUGAUAGCAUUUUAGAUUUGAAGAAAUAACUGACAAAAUCAAUAUCAUCUGUUUCAUCAUUACAAAUAGACUCAUAGCUCUUUAAUUUUUCCAUUUAACACUUUAAUUUUCCAUAGGCCUAGAUUUUCAAGAAGUCCAAUAUCUCUCACUUGAAGUGUCUUUUCCCUGGAGUAGAUUGGGAGAUUUGAGGGAUAUCUGUCCAAAGAUGAGACAGUCUGUUUCUAGUUUCCCAUCCAGCCUGAUGGGGCGUCUACAGUUUUUACCACAAGGUGUCGCUGUUGAACAGAUUCUGGUGCAGUCUAGUGCAUAGCUGUCCACUUCUAGAGUGAUCACUUGCUGGGCCAAGUUCCUCUCCUUAAGUGGUGUCUCACAUUAAGGUUCCCAAAUUACAGACUCAUUAAUUCACCCUAAUAAGCUCAUCCAGGCAGUUUAGGUCUUCAGGGGCUUCCAGCCUCCAACACACAUUGGGCCAAAACCAGCCUGUACCACCAGCUCCAAGCCCUGUGUUGAAUCUAGGUCAUUGGUCCAGAUGCCCCUUCAUUCUGGGCCUGUGGUGUCCUUUCCAGACAGCAGACCUCAGUUAAGGGCAUCCCAGUCCAUCAGAGAAGUUCCAGGAUCACAGACCCUCAAAAGGGGCAGUGUUGAGGAUUCAGUCUGUUUUCUGCCCAGAGGCCCCAUUAAGUAUGUUGUAUCACCUCCUCCCCAGGCUGUUUCUACAUAACCCAGGGAAGCCAUUCAGGGAACAGCUGCCUUAUGAAUGAAAAUCCACCCCUAGACAAUGUGCUAUGCCAUCCCAGCCAGAAAAAUUGUUGGCAACUUCCCUUGCCAAAAAUGCCUGGUAUCACAGAAUCUUAUGCCAUUAUUGCUUUCUGGUCCAGGGUCCUCCCACCCUUCAAAAGGAUGGCAUACAACUCCCACCGUGUGUGUGUGUGUGUGUGUGUGUGUGUGUGUGUGUGUGUGUGUAGAGGCUGUUCUUGAGGGCAAUAGGUGAGCUUUUGUUUUGCUUUGUCAGGUCUACAUGGUAAGGGGGAAGGGCUAGAAUACUAAGAUAGUAUUAGGAUAAUGGAUGGAAAUAUUUUAAAGCAAUUCCAAGGUGGAAGGAACAGAGAGAAAAGCCUUGGAGCAGCUGGAGAGAACUGUCUUCAAGGAAAUGGACUAAGUUUUGUCUAGAAUGUGUGAGGUAAACUUCUUCUCCAGCUUCCCACAAAGACACUGGUGGGGUGGACACUGCUCUGGACGGUUUUGGCAGUUGGUUUUGUGUUUUGGAGAUGAAGUGGCCCUGGCAUCAAGAGGACGUGGGACACAAGCAGAGGCUUCCAAGGGGUCCCAGGAGCACCUCUGUCCAAUACAGAUGGAGAAAUUGAGGACCAGAGGAGGGGCUUGUCCAAAGUCACCCAGCGAGUUAGAGCCCCCAGUGGCUUUUCCCAUUAAAAAUGAACCCCAGGCCAGGGGUGGUGGCUCACACUUGUAACCCCAGUGUUUUGGGAAGCUGAGGCAGGAAGAUCAUUUAAGGUCAGAAGUUAGAGACCAGCCUGGGCAACAGAGAGACCCUGUCUCUACUAAAAAAUUAAAAAUUAGCCUGGUGUGGUGGUGUGCACCUGUAAUCCCAGCUACUUGGGAGGCUGAGGUGGGAGGAUUGCUUGUGCCCAGGAGUUUGAGGCUGCAGUGAGACAUAAUUGAGCCACUGCACUUCAGUCUGGGUGACAGAGCAAGACUGUCUCAAAUAACAAAAAAGAAAAGGAAAAAUAAAAAAAAAGAACCCCAAACAGCCCACUGUGAGCCAUGGUGACCCCAAAUCUCCAGCGUCCCUGCGGGGUCCCAGGCCGGCUCAGUGCAGGUAUUCUCGCACAGUGAGCUCCUUCAGGGUGAUGCCUCGGGGCGUGGGCCUCCGGAGCUGGCUCUCCUCCAGCCUCUCCUGCAGAGUCACGAAGUCCUUGCCCAGCGCGUAGGCCAGGCGGACCAUGGCGUCCAGCAGAGGCGCAUAGUAGCGAUGGCCCUCCCGGGCCUGCAGGCGCUGCAGGGCCCUCUCUCCGGCCGCGAAGGCCUCGGCGGGGCGGUCGAGGUCGCG